UUUUUUUGUGGAGAGUUUGAUCCUGGCUCAGGACGAACGCUGGCGGCGUGCUUAACACAUGCAAGUCGAACGGAAAGGCCUGCAGCUUGCUGCGGGUACUCGAGUGGCGAACGGGUGAGUAACACGUGGGUGAUCUGCCUUGCACUUCGGGAUAAGCUUGGGAAACUGGGUCUAAUACCGGAUAGGACAGCUGUUUAGUGUCAGUUGUGGAAAGUUUUUUCGGUGCAAGAUGAGCUCGCGGCCUAUCAGCUUGUUGGUGGGGUAAUGGCCUACCAAGGCGUCGACGGGUAGCCGGCCUGAGAGGGUGUACGGCCACAUUGGGACUGAGAUACGGCCCAGACUCCUACGGGAGGCAGCAGUGGGGAAUAUUGCACAAUGGGCGGAAGCCUGAUGCAGCGACGCCGCGUGGGGGAUGAAGGCCUCGGGUUGUAAACUCCUUUCGACAGGGACGAAGCUUUUGUGACGGUACCUGUAUAAGAAGCACCGGCUAACUACGUGCCAGCAGCCGCGGUAAUACGUAGGGUGCGAGCGUUGUCCGGAAUUACUGGGCGUAAAGAGCUCGUAGGUGGUUUGUCGCGUCGUCUGUGAAAUUCCGGGGCUUAACUCCGGGCGUGCAGGCGAUACGGGCUGACUUGAGUGCUGUAGGGGAGACUGGAAUUCCUGGUGUAGCGGUGAAAUGCGCAGAUAUCAGG
rnacentral:rRNA from 1 species